AACGGGGGGGGCUUAGUGUUACUCGUCUUGAUGGGCGUAAAGGGAGCGUAGGUGUUCUGUAAGUAUUAGGUGAAAGACUGGUAAUUAUCAUCUUAAACGCUUUUAGACUGCAAAACUGGAGUUCUACAGAAGAUACCGGACUACUGUGGAGAAGUGAAAUGUGUCGAUACUGUAUGGGCGACAAUGCGAAAGCGGGUAUCACUGAGAUUACUGACGCUGAGGCUCUAAAGCUGGGGAGCAAAAAGG
rnacentral:misc_RNA from 1 species